AGCAUUUAAUCACACUAAUAUCAUAGUUAACGCAAAACAGAAUCAAAAAGGGAUUAGGGUUUUCUAACUUGAAUGACCAUUAGAGUCCUUUUUGAGACUCUCUUCUCCUUUGUGAAUCGGAGCGGCGACGGCAAAAGCGGCGACGGUGGCUCAAAUUCACUUCCGAUCAGAGCUUCUCCGUCUCAAGCUUUCCAUCUCCGAUUCAACACUCUCACUCUCUCGCGCUCUUAAUCUCUCUCGUCUCAGAUAUCUCUCCUCCGAAUCAUGACCACGGCGUCGAUUGCUCGCCUUUCUCCUCUGCCGAUUAAAGAAUGCGGUGAUCUUCCCUCUCAACUCCGACGAUCUCCCAUCUCUCUCGUUUUCUCCAACGAUUCAACUCAGCAAUUGGAGACUGAUCCGGUGCGCCUUCAACCGCGGUGUCAAGAAAUCCGGCGAGAACUUCAAAGCUUCCAAUGAAGAUUAUAGAGAUUGUGAAGCAAUGGUGAUUUGAAGUUGUUGCGAAUUGUUGAAGAUUCAGGUUGAAUUCGUCUGAAGGUUGAAGAGAGGAUGAGGAUGAUGAUUGAAGAUGUGUGAAGUGAUUUCUUGAAACUCUGAUUCUUCUCGUUUUCUUUUGCAGAGUGAAGAUUUGGUGAAGAGUUGUGUGAUGCCGUUCAGAGAGGGAAGAUUGUUACGUUUUUUUUCUUGUUUUCAAUUUCUGAGUUUGUUUUCUGGUCAUUCAACUGGAGAGGUUCUGAUAUGAUGAUUAUCACUCCACUGUUCUUGCAGGUGAUGGAUUGAAGUGUGGAGGAUGUGCGUUGGAGAUGAAAAUUGAUGGAGAGCCUUUUGCGAGUUUUCAAGAAGAGAUGAAGAAGAUUUGAGAUUAUGCUGAUUGAUAAUGUUGUUGUUUGCAGGUUCAAACCGAGAAGAUGAAUUGGUGAUGAAGAUUUGCGAUGAAAAUGAUCGAAGUUGUUGAAGAAGAUUGCGGUUACGAAUUGCGCUCAAGAUGCUUGUUGUUAUUCCCGUCAACGAUGAAAAGUGAUUAUGAACGUGAUUUAUGCAGAGAAGAGUUUGAAGAUUUUCUUGUGAUUGUAUUGGAGAGAUGAAGAAGGUUUAGAGAGAUUGAAGAUUGUCGAGAGUUGAACCGUGAAGGUGAAGAUUGCAAUUGCCGAGAGAUCAAGUUUCGGUUCAAGAUGGAUGUGGUUGAAGGAUCCCUUUGUGAAUUUCUAUUACGUGUGAAUUUCUUCUUCUUCCCUGCUGAGCUGUCCCCGAACCGGUUCGGUUCUAUUCUGGUUUUGUUUUGCAGUAGGUCCCUUUGGCUUUGGAAACUCACAGUAGUUUGAGGCUAGAACCGUAAUGCAAUUUGGUGGGAUAUUGAUGCAAGCAUAUCUCUUGCAAUGCCAUUUUCUUGUGAUGAAUUGUAUCUCUUUUUUUUGUUAUUUUUGGAUGAAUGUAAUGUGUUGUAAUUGAACUUUGAAAGGACCUUUGAAUGUAAGGUGAAUGUGGACAUUUUAAAUUCCAAUUACUCUUGCAUUUCAACAAUCCACAUGAAUCUUCUUUUCACAUCAAGCACACUUAUAUCCCAAUUCAAUCGAUUAAUUUGAACAC